rnacentral:rRNA from 1 species
GGAGGGUGCGAACGUUAAUCGGAAUCACUGGGCGUAAAGCGCGCGUAGGCGGUCUGUUAAGUGGGAUGUGAAAUCCCCGGGCUUAACCUGGGAAUUGCAUUUCAAACUGGCCGACUAGAGUACGGUAGAGGGAGGUAGAAUUUCCUGUGUAGCGGUGAAAUGCGUAGAUAUAGGAAGGAAUACCAGUGGCGAAGGCGGCCUCCUGGAUCGAUACUAACGCUGAGGCGCGAAAGCGUGGGGAGCAAACAGGAUUAGAUACCCCUGGUAGUCCACGCCGUAAACGAUGARAACUAGCCKUUUGGACCCCUUUGAGGUUUUAGUGGCGUARCYWAAMGCSAUAARUUCUCCGCCUGGGGAAKACGGGCCSCMARGGCUA